rnacentral:rRNA from 1 species
UACGUAGGGACCGAGCGUUGUCCGGAUUUAUUGGGCGUAAAGCGCGCGUAGGCGGCUUUCCACGUCGGAUGUGAAAGCUCGGGGCUCAACCCUGAGAUGCCAUUCGAUACGGGAUAGCUAGAGGUAGGUAGGGGAGAUUGGAAUUCCUGGUGUAGCGGUGAAAUGCGCAGAUAUCAGGAGGAACACCGGUGGCGAAGGCGGAUCUCUGGGCCUUACCUGACGCUGAGGCGCGAAAGCUGGGGGAGCGAACAGG